rnacentral:lncRNA from 1 species
GGGGAGGUUCCGCGGGGGUGCUAGAGCCCGGCCUCGCGGGGCGGGGGCUUCGUGCCCUUGUCCUUUUGGCUCCAGUACGAGACUCAGGCGCUCCGCCGCCCAGAGCCCUGGCAGCAGGCGCUCUCUGCAGUGCACCCCGCAAGCACGCGAGGGAAGCGAGGCCGGCGAUGGGGUGGUCUUGCCCUGGCCCCCCGGAGGACUCCUAACCUACUGGUAGCAGGGCGCACUGAGGGCCACGAGUUGCUAGGAAACCGCCCCACGCUACGGUGCGCCGGUCCGGGUAGCCUGCUGCGGCCCAGGCUGCAGCGGCAACAGCUCGAGCGGCGUGGGCGGGACAUUGGUGAGGCAUGAAGUCACCACGGCCCACACUCGCUCUUUGUUUUGCUCACUCCAGCUCUUUUUCUCCCCUCUGGAUCUGACAGUUGCCAUCCCCAUCGUUCCGAGAAUUCCUAGUGCGUAGCCACGCAACGGGAUAUCGCACUGCGUUCCCUAUUCCCUCCUCCUGCACUCCCAGCUUGCCUAGCUGCAUCACCUUCCCAGUAAAAGGAACAAAGAAGUUAGAGACCACAGCAAAGGAGGAAGAGACGCUAAGGAGGGGAAGAGGAGGACAUUUCUGCCUGGUGGCAGCUCAGAAAUUCAGACCACCAGAGCUAUGUGAUGAUGAAGAAAGUCAUAGGUGAGAGCUGAGUAGCUCACAACAGUUGACCAGAUGUAGAAUGUGUGAUUACACAGAUCCGUGGAAUAAGUGCAGAAGUGGAAAUGUUUGGAGGGAAAGGAGAAGGAGAAAGAUGAGAUAUGAGGUCAAGAGAGCGUCAUCUAAGGUGACUAAGCAUAUAGAGAGUUAGGG